UACGAAGGGGGCUAGCGUUGUUCGGAAUUACUGGGCGUAAAGCGCGCGUAGGCGGUUUUGCAAGCCAGAGGUGAAAUGCCUGAGCUCAACUUAGGAAUUGCCUUUGGGACUGCGAGGCUUUGAGGACGGGAGAGGUGAGUGGAAUUCCUAGUGUAGAGGUGAAAUUCGUAGAUAUUAGGAAGAACACCUGCGGCGAAGGCGGGUUGCUGGGCUGACACUGACGCUGAGGCGCGAAAGCCAGGGGAGCGAACAGG
rnacentral:rRNA from 1 species